UUGCCUGCGGCGCAGUCCACUCAACAUUUACUGUAUUUCACGCGGGGAACAGCAACAAGAGCCUCCGGAGAAGCUUGACGGGGAAUACCGGGGAAUAUCUGACAGCACACACAUACACACACAACCUGUAUUUUUCCUUCCUUUUCCAAAUAAAGCCGGUUUUUUAACGGGUUGAUGUGGACAAACUAGCGCGCGCUCGGGUCAGUAGGACAGCGGCUCGUGCGCGGACUGGUGUCUUGUCGGUGGGAGCGUCUUUUUAUUUUUAUAUUAUUAUUAUUAUUUAUUUAUUUUAAUAUCUAAAUCGGUCCUGGAGAAGAACAGACCACAUCAGGAGGAAAAAGGAAAAAAAAAAAAAAAAAGCAGAAGACAGCCCCGCGUGAAAGUGAUCAAGAGUCAGAAUGAAUAACAACAAAAUCGAGAAGGAGAACGAGCAGAGUGAAUUCACCAACCACGAAGAAGAGGUCCGAACGCUAUUUGUCAGCGGGCUACCACUGGAUAUUAAGCCGCGGGAGCUCUAUCUCCUGUUCAGACCAUUUAAGGGCUAUGAAGGCUCCUUGAUAAAACUCACCUCUAAACAGGAUUAGCACCUUUCAUCAGGAAGUACCUGGAAUAGAAAGAAAAGAAAAAAGUUUACUGGCAGGGGGGAUAGGAAAAAGUGUUGCACCAACUUGCCUUUGGCAAUCAGAUACUCUUCUUAUAGUCACAGUCAGUCAACUCCGGUGGGAUGUACAGAGAUGGGAGGGGAGACAGAGAAGAAUUUUGAGGUGUCAAAGGAAGCAUUUUGACAAGAGCAGAACUGACGUUGAGUUUAGCCUCCAGGGGUUCAGGACUGAAAAUGAGCUCAGCUGGCAGGUGUCCAUGUUCAGAGUUAAGCAAUUUAGCUUCAUGUCAGUGUACUUAUUAGCACAU